rnacentral:antisense_RNA from 1 species
UGUGGGGGCGAGCUUGCUCGCGAUGGCGUCAUGCCAGCCGACUUCGAUGUUGACUGAUAUACCGCUAUCGCGAGCAAGCUCGCUCCCACA